UACGUAGGGGGCAAGCGUUGUCCGGAUUUAUUGGGCGUAAAGCGCGUGUAGGCGGCCAUACAGGUCCGUUGUGAAAACUCGAGGCUUAACCUCGAGACGUCGAUGGAAACCGUAUGGCUAGAGUCCGGAAGAGGAGAGUGGAAAUUCCUGGUGUAGCGGUGAAAUGCGCAGAUAUCAGGAAGAACACCCGUGGCGAAGGCGGCUCUCUGGGACGGUACUGACGCUGAGACGCGAAAGCGUGGGGAGCGAACAGG
rnacentral:rRNA from 1 species